GGGCUUAGGUGCUUACCAAAGUCACCAGGGUGGGGUUAGAGGGUAAGGUAAGGCUAUUGGACAUGCUGGCUUGAGUGGAGUGGCAACUCCACAAUGCAAACUUAAACUCAUGCCAAAUAUGUACAUGCAUCAAAGGUGGUUGAUGAAAUGCCAAAGGCUCCUAAAGAGGUUUGAUGCCCAUCAAAAUCUCCAGAUCAGGGUCUCACUAGGUGCUAGCCAUGCUUG
rnacentral:lncRNA from 1 species